AUUGAACGCUGGCGGCAGGCUUAACACAUGCAAGUCGAGCGAACUGCGGACGGGGGAGUUAUUUCAUGGAAACUUCCUGAUGGAGGGGGAUAACUCCUGGAAACGGUAGCUAAUACCGCCUACCUACAGGUGUGCCCAGAUGGGAUUAGCUAGUGGGUGGGGUAAAGGCUCACCUAGGCGGCGAUCCCUCGCUGGUCUGAGAGGGAGACCAGCCACACUGGAACUGAGACACGGCCCAGACUCCUACGGGAGGCAGCAGUGGGGAAUAUUGCACAAUGGGCGCAAGCCUGAUGCAGCCAUGCCGCGUGUGUGAAGAAGGCCUUCGGGUUGUAAAGCACUUUCAGCGAGGAGGCGUUACUCGAAGAAGAAGCACCGGCUAACUCCGUGCCAGCCGCCGCGGUAAUUC
rnacentral:rRNA from 1 species